UACAGAGGUCUCAAGCGUUGUUCGGAUUCAUUGGGCGUAAAGGGUGCGUAGGUGGCGGGGUAAGUCAGGUGUGAAAUCUCGGGGCUCAACCCCGAAACUGCACUUGAUACUGCCUUGCUCGAGUACUGGAGAGGAGACUGGAAUUUACGGUGUAGCAGUGAAAUGCGUAGAUAUCGUAAGGAAGACCAGUGGCGAAGGCGAAUCUCUGGACAGUUACUGACACUGAGGCACGAAGGCCAGGGGAGCAAACAGG
rnacentral:rRNA from 1 species